CCUGACUACUGAGGAAUCCUCGGGCUUCAAAGAUUUGCCUGUAGUGCUCUGCGAGGUGCUGCAGACAUGACUGAUUUUCAGUGCCAAGAAUGGAAGAAUGAAGGCUGUUCACAUCAGUCAAAAAGUAAAACAUGGAGCACAUUGCAUAAUGAAAGAAGAAAUAAUUGAGAAGUCCAGCUAUCAAAAAAAGUCAGAAACAAAGAUGAAGAUAAUAUGUUUUGGAUGAGAGCAAUUGCCUACAAAUAUAACUGUUGAGGUGGUGAUGUCAUAAAGAGAACAGAACAAAGAUUGUCUAGGCCUUGGCAUGAGAUCCAAGUGAAGUGCCCUGAAAAAGCCACUGACAAAGAUAAGUCUCUAUUUUUAAAAGCAUUACAACUAGUUACCAUUCUCUGUAUUUAACCCAGCGAACUACAUAUCGGAAACUAAAAUUUAUUGGAGAGAUUCUCAGAACCAUACUAGAAACAUUACCGAGGUCUCAUCUAGUUUUCUCUACUGCCUUCCAAGGUUUCUACUGUACAAUUUCUCAUUGAAAACUGCCUCAGCAUUUUUUAAGAAGACAUCACUUCCCCCUUGGGGAAGAAAGAACUCAAUGACUUGAAGAAACUGAUGCUUCAGGUACCUUGAAAAAUUCAGCUGGUUUUGAUGAGAAACAGUCAAUGGGGCUGUUAGGGGUCCUGGCGGAUGCUUAGGCAGUGGCUGUCCUGGAUUCCAGGGAAUGCCCCAAACCCAGUGAUGCAGGACCCAGGACUCCAUCUGCUCAUUCUUCAUAAGGUUGGCUCACAGGUCAUCUGCUGAGAAGGUCAUCUUCUCCGUCUUCACUGGGCUCACUGAAUGAGGACAUUCCAAGAUCCCAGCUCAUCUCAUUUGAGCUUUCCUUUUCCUAAUCCCAUGCAUCUGUGUUUGAGAAAAUCUUCCCAAGUGAUAGAUCUUCUAUUUUCCGAUUUCUUCCAUGUUGUAUUACUUUUUUUAUUAAUAAUAAUAAAUACACAUAUUUUUGGUGUGUACAUGCA
rnacentral:lncRNA from 1 species